GCUGGGCGUGGUGGUGCACGCCUGUAAUCCCACCUACUUGGGAGGCUGAGGCAGGAGAAUCGCUUGAACCUAGGAGGCGGAGAUUGCAGUGAGCCAAGAUCAUGCCACUGCACUCCAGCCUGGAUGACAGAGUGAGACUCUGUCUCAA
rnacentral:SRP_RNA from 2 species